rnacentral:rRNA from 1 species
UACAGAGGGUGCGAGCGUUGUUCGGAAUUACUGGGCGUAAAGGGCGCGCAGGCGGCUCUGAAAGUCAGAUGUGAAAGCCCCGGGCUUAACCUGGGAAUUGCAUUUGAUACUCUGGAGCUUGAGUACGGGAGAGGAGAGUGGAAUUCCCAGUGUAGAGGUGAAAUUCGUAGAUAUUGGGAAGAACACCGGUGGCGAAGGCGGCUCUCUGGACCGUAACUGACGCUGAGGCGCGAAAGCGUGGGGAGCAAACAGG